CAACGCGUUGGGAGCUCUCCCAUAUGGUCGACCUGCAGGCGGCCGCGAAUUCACUAGUGAUUAGAGUUUGAUCAUGGCUCAGAGCGAACGCUGGCGGCAGGCUUAACACAUGCAAGUCGAGCGCCGUAGCAAUACGGAGCGGCAGACGGGUGAGUAACACGUGGGAACGUGCCUUCUGGUUCGGAAUAACUCAGGGAAACUUGAGCUAAUACCGAAUAAGCCCUUCGGGGGAAAGAUUUAUCGCCGGAAGAUCGGCCCGCGUAAGAUUAGCUUGUUGGUGAGGUAACGGCUCACCAAGGCUACGAUCUUUAGCUGGUCUGAGAGGAUGAUCAGCCACAUUGGGACUGAGACACGGCCCAAACUCCUACGGGAGGCAGCAGUGGGGAAUAUUGGACAAUGGGCGCAAGCCUGAUCCAGCAAUGCCGCGUGAGUGAUGAAGGCCUUAGGGUUGUAAAGCUCUUUUACCCGGGAUGAUAAUGACAGUACCGGGAGAAUAAGCUCCGGCUAACUCCGUGCCAGCAGCCGCGGUAAUACGAAUCGAAUUCCCGCGGCCGCCAUGGCGGCCGGGAGCAUGCGACGUCGG
rnacentral:rRNA from 1 species